ensembl:lncRNA
UGUAAUCCUUUGUCCUUCUGACAAUAGUACUGCACUGGGUAUGGUUCCCUCGUCCCCUUGUUUUUAGUCGGUCACCCUACCUGAAAAAUACUUUUGAUCUUGGGUGGUGUUUUUAUACCCCAAGUUCCCCUACAAUUGACCCAUGUUACAUUUAGCUCCACUUUCCCCUAUUACUUACAGUGAAUUGCGGCGCGUUGAAGCCCUUAAGUCUAAUGCAUCUGUUACUCUAAGUAACACAAUAUAUUUAAAAAAUCCAUCUGUCAGUUUCAGAUGGAGAACUGUUUUUUUUUGCAUUGGCAGCGUCCCAAUCCACCGCAUAUGCCUAUGUCGGCCUUCCGCAUCUGCGUUGAAAGGGGGCUGAGCUACAGCAGUGUUUUCAGACCAUGAGACAUCCCGAAAAUUCGUCUUCUCAAGAAAACGUCUCUAGCGUCCGAAUGGUUUGGCCUACAACCCCCACAAGUGUCACGGGACUCGUCUUAAGAUCCACAAUCGAGAGCAUCCUGUCAGGCUGUAUCACCCCCUGGUACGGCAACUGCUCCGCCCACAACCGUAAGGCUCUCCAGAGGGUAGUGAGGUCUGCACAACGCAUCACCGGGGGCAAACUACUGCCCUCCAGGACACCUACACCACCCGAUGUCACAGGAAGGCCAUAAAGAUCCUCAAGGACAACAACCACCCGAGCCACUGCCUGUUCACCCCGCUAUCAUCCAGAAGGUGAGGUCAGUACAGGUGCAUCAAAGCAGGGACCGAGAGACUGAAAAACAGCUUCUAUCUCAAGGCCAUCAGACUGUUAAACAGCCACCACUAACAUUGAGUGGCUGCUGCCAACACCCUGACUCAACUCCAGCCACUUUAAUUAUGGAAAUUGGUGUAAAAAUAUUUCACUUGCCACUUUAAACAAUGCUACUUAAUAUAAUGUUUACAUACCCUACAUUACUCAUCUCAUAUGUAUAUGUAUAUACUGUACUCUAUAAUCUACUGCAUCUUGCCUAUGCCGUUCUGUACCAUCACUCUUUAAUAUAUUUUUAUGUACAUAUUCUUCAUCCCUUUACACGUGUGUGUGUAUAAGGUAGUUGUUGUGAAAUUGUUAGGUUAGAUUACUCGUUGGUUAUUACUGCAUUGUCGGAACUAGAAGCACAAGCAUUUCGCUACACUCGCAUUUAACAUCUGCUAACCAUGUGUAUGUGACAAAUAAAAUUUGAUUUGAUUUUCACAGAAUUUCUGGUAUAGUCACACCGACUCGCGCUGCCUCUCUUCAGCGCUCGACGUCGCCGGUCUACUAACCACCGGUCAUGGCACCAUCAGUACGCACAUCUGCUCCUCAUUACGCUCACUUGGACCUCAUCACCUUGAUUACUCUCCCUUUUAUUUAGCCCUCAGUAGCCUCUGUCAUUAGGAAGUAUUGGUUUUGUUUACGUUCAGUACGCUUCUCCUGUUUUGUUUAUCUGCCUUCUCUUUUCAUUAAACUUACCUUCUGCACCUGCUUCCAGACUCCAACCAUUUACGUUAAUUAAGCCAUUAAAUAUAGAAAUCACUAUCAUUAUUUCCAGAUUCCGUCUGUCUAAUCACAUACACAGUCCUUCGGGUCCGUAGAUCUAUGAUCUCCUUCCUAACUUAACUCAACAUUCUGAAACCUAUUUUAAGUGCUUAUUUAUUAGAACUGACCCUUAAGUCAAUCUAAACCAAAUUCUUAAGGGUUUUACCCCUAAGAAAUACCAUAAACAGGAAAUAUCUUACGAUAUUGAUUUCCAAAUAAAUUACAAUUUACCAAAUUGUUAUUGUACUUAGGAAAUACCUUAAGUAUGGAAUAUCACAAUUUCCUUCCAA